CCACGGGAGGCAGCAGUGAGGAAUAUUGGUCAAUGGACGAGAGUCUGAACCAGCCAAGUAGCGUGAAGGAUGACUGCCCUAUGGGUUGUAAACUUCUUUUAUAUGGGAAUAAAAUGUUCCACGUGUGGGAUUUUGUAUGUACCCUAUGAAUAAGGAUCGGCUAACUCCGUGCCAGCAGCCGCGGUAAUACGGAGGAUCCGCGCGUUAUCCGGAUUUAUUGGUUUUAAAGGGAGCGUAGGUGGUUUGUGAAGUCAGUUGUGAAAGUUUUCGGCGCAACCGUAAAAUUGCAGUUGAAACUGGGAGUCUUGAGUACAGUAGAGGUGGGCGGAAUUCGUGGUGUAGCGGUGAAAUGCUUAGAUAUCACGAAGAACUCCGAUUGCGAAGGCAGCUCACUGGAAUGCAACUGACACUGAGGCUCGAAAGUGUGGGUAUCAAACAGGAUUAGAUACCCGAGUAGUC
rnacentral:rRNA from 1 species